CUGAAAUUGUACCAGAGCUCCUUGCUGCCCCAGGCAUCCCACACUCCUCGAGGCCGUUCCCAGAGCUCCAAACUUUCCGCAGAAGCUUCUGGAGUUGGUGUUUUGCCCCAAGAUGUGUUUUGAUAUUGAUGGCAAAGCUAAACAGGGGAGAGCCUUAAAAGAAAGAAGCAGCAGCUUGCAGCUAAAUGUGGACAUCAUUAUCACAUUUUUAGUGACUGGAUCAGAUCUUGCUGUCUUUUGCAGAAGAUACCUGUUGGAAUUGGUGAGGCUGGUGUCUCAGAACUGUGUUGCAAUUUGGCACACUCACUGUCAGUGGUGAUGCUAUGCUGGAACCCACAGGCUCCCUACUAAAAAGAGAGAGUAGCAGUGUACUGCAGGGCUGGUUAACAAAGUCAGCGUGCUUGUAAUGCAAGCAAUCCCAAGUGUCUUCUGCAAAACUUUCCGGACGAGAGAAGAAACCUCAUGUGCCCUGCUUCAAAUGCUGCUGUUUACCUUUCAUAACUGCCUGAAUCAACAAGAUGGAUAAAUAUUUUUCUGUCAUGACGGGAUGAGAGAAAGAUGGAAAGAACAACAUGUGACAGAGGAGAGGUGCUUCAGCCCUCUGAUCAUCCUCCUGGAUCUCCUCUGGAUCCUCUCCAAACGCUGCACGUCCUUCCUGAGUGAGGGACCCCGUGCCUGAUGCAGUACUCCAGGUGAGACCUCAUGAGGGCAGGGAGGGACAGCCACCUCCCUGAUACAGAAGUGCUUAGCUAUCAGUGGAGCUCAACUGAUUUAUUCUUGAUGAAGAUCUUGCCUGCAACAAGGUACUAAAAUGUAAGAGAUGGGCUGUGCAGGAAGUGCCACUGCUGGAAGUGUCUCCAAAGAAAUUCUGGCAGGUCCUGAUUAUCUAUGCAGACCUUGGAUUUGUCUCUUGGAUAGUGUCUGGCUUCCAGCAAAGCUGAGGAGUAUUCCUGUUCUAUAUUGGUGUGUGGGAAAAUCACAUUGACUGUACAGAUCAAUGGGUCAGACACAUAGAGGCCUUCUGUAUGCAGGCUAAAUAAAGAUCUGUUGAAAUGUGCCAUAUAACCCACGUUCAGAGAGCUGAAUUUCCCAGAAACAAGCUAGUAUUUCAACCAGCCCCUCGGUGUGAAUAACACUCAGUAUCUUCUGCUGGAAGUGACUGAAAGGAUCUAGCAUUUUCCUAGAAAAAUGACAAUCUACUAUUUGGGAGUUGCCAGAGAAUGAGGCUGUUUCCUGCAUUGAUUGAUGCUCUGAAAUGCUCACCCACAACCAACUCAAGGGUACUCCUUCCAAGAACACAAUGCUUGUGACUUUAGUGGAAAUGAGAGAUAAGGAGAAGAUCCUCCAGGCUGCCUGGAAAGAGAGAAGCAUUGAAUUCCAAGGGCAAGUGAUAACAAUUUCUCCAGACUUCAGCAAGAAGAUACAAGAAAGAAGGUAGAACUUUAAAAAGCCUUUGUAGAUUUUAAAUCCAAGCCUGUCGUCUCUUAUGAAAAUGGGAGUUCUACAUGAAAAUAAAGAUUACUCCUUCUGGGAUGCAGAUUGAGGGAAACAGUUUUUAACAGAUAUCACCUCCAUUGUUGCUGUGGGCCAUUUGGAUGGAUUAAUUCCUCGUGUUUUAAUGGCAGAGCCCAGGUAGCACAUCCUGGCAUUGUGUGCUCUGUGCACAGAAACCCUUGGGAGUUGCAAACUGUCCACGAAGUCUACUCCAUCAUGGGGACUGAGACAGAUGGCACAGCUGCCAAAGCUGGCAGGGCUGAGCAUCUGGUAAUGCAUUGAUUUAAAGCAGUUCUCAAGCAGCGUCCGCAGUGUUGUUGAACUGAGAUGAGCACAGUUCAGAGUUACUAUCCUGCUGGAGCCCAAGGGUGUUGCCACAGCCUCUUAUUGGAAGCAAGUACCAAAUGCUUUGGAAGGUGAAGAAAAGCAGCCUCCCUUCUGGGCAACCUGUCAGGAACUGCUGAUAUCAGGGAGGGAGUCAGAGCUGUGGAAGGUUACUGCUACCACUGUUUCACAGUGAAGUUUGGAUUCCUUUAGCAAAGCUCUUGUCAGGAUUUUAUUUUAUUUUUUGGCAUUGUCAGUGCUUUCUCUCUUUCUCUCCCUCCC
ensembl:lncRNA